rnacentral:rRNA from 1 species
CCCUUAGAUGUCCUGGGCCGCACGCGCGCUACACUGACAUGUUCAACAAGUUUCUCCUAGUUCGACAGGACUGGGAAAUCUUUGAACGCAUGUCGUGAUAGGGAUAGAUCAUUGCAAUUAUUGAUCUUGAACGAGGAAUUCCUAGAAAACGCGAGUCAUCAGCUCGCAUUGAUUACGUCCCUGCCCUUUGUACACACCGCCCGUCGCACCUACCGAUUGAAUGUUUCGGUGAAGAUUCCGGAUAGGACUGAUUUGAUUUAUUUCAUUUCUGACCUAAAAGCUAUCUAAACCUCAACAUUUAGAGGAAGGUGAAGUCGUAACA